rnacentral:rRNA from 1 species
UUGCGGUUAAAAAGCUCGUAGUUGGAUUUCUGUUGAGGAUGACCGGUCCGCUCUUUGAGCGCGUAUCUGGUUCAGCCUUGGCAUCCUCUUGGGGAACGCUACUGUGCUUGAUUGCAUGGGGCGGUAUUCAAGACUUUUACUUUGAGGAAAUUAGAGUGUUCACUGCAAGCGUUAGCAAUUGAACACAUUAGCAUGGAAUAAUAAUAUAGGACCUUGGUACUAUUUUGUUGGUUUCUAGAACUAAGGUAAUGAUUAAUAGGGACAAUUGGGGGCAUUCGUAUUAACGCGUCAGAGGUGGAAUUCUUAGAUUGCGUUACGACGAACUACUGCGAAAGCAUUUGCCAAGGAUGGUUUCAUUGAUCAAGAACGAAAGUAUGGGGAUCGAAGACGCUUAGAUACCGUCGUAGUCUAUACCAUAAACUAUGCCAACUAGAGAUUGGAGGUCGUUCUCUUUAUGACUCCUUCAGCACCUUACGAGAAAUCAAAGUCUUUGGGUUCCGGGGGGAGUAUGGUCGCAAGGCUGAAACUUAAA